UUCCACUGUAUCGUUAAUUCA
rnacentral:piRNA from 1 species